rnacentral:rRNA from 1 species
UGCGUAGGGGGCUAGCGUUGUCCGGAUUUAUUGGGCGUAAAGAGCGUGUAGGCGGCCAGGUAAGUCUGCUGUGAAAACUCGAGGCUUAACCUCGAGAUGUCGGCGGAAACCAUCUGGCUAGAGUCCGGAAGAGGAGAGUGGAAUUCCUGGUGUAGCGGUGAAAUGCGCAGAUAUCAGGAAGAACACCCGUGGCGAAGGCGGCUCUCUGGGACGGUACUGACGCUGAGACGCGAAAGCGUGGGGAGCGAACAGG